rnacentral:rRNA from 1 species
AGCUCCAAUAGCGUAUAUUAAAGUUGUUGCGGUUAAAAAGCUCGUAGUUGGAUUUCUGCGGGAGACGGACGGUCUACCUUACGGGUAAGUAUCUGUCUUGCUCCUGCAUCCUCAUCGGGAACGUCGCUGCGGUUGAUUCCGUGGUACGGUACCGAUGACUUUUACUUUGAGGAAAUUAGAGUGUUCACGGCAAGCUAACGCGUGUAUACAUUAGCAUGGAAUAAUAAUAUAGGACCUCGGUACUAUUUUGUUGGUUUCUAGAACUGAGGUAAUGAUGAAUAGGGACAGUUUGGGGGGACUUGUACCAACGCGUCAGAGGUGGAAUUCUUGGAUUGCGUUGUGACAAACUACUGCGAAAGCAUUUCCCAAGGAUGUUUUCA